GAAUUAUAUUCAUUUCAUAAUUUUGCUUUAAUUUUUUCACUCAGAAAACAGCAGUGAUUGGUCUAGGAUAACACCAGACGUGAAGCAUCAAACAACUGUUUCUGAGUAUACGAAUAACCAUUCAUAUCUGCAAAACAGGAUUUCUGCCGUUGAGAACACGAAUACAGCUUCUAAAUGGAUGAAUAAAACCAAAGAUCUACAAACAAAGUUAACUUCCAGUCUGUAUCCAGCACUACGUCAGGAUCUAUAUGUUAAGCAUGACAUAGAUACCUGGAUCGCUGUAAGCUGCUCACUAAUUGGAUCUCUUGUAACACUCAUUCUAAUUGGAUGUCUUCUUUUCUUCCGAUCUCGCUCAAAACUCAGGAUGAAACAUCCUAAAAGAAUUGGAAGGAUUUUGUCUUCAAGCACAGGAGCAGAUAGAAACUUGGAUCUGCCAGGACACUUUGAACUUUCUGCACUCACUCCAGAACCUCAAUACCAAGAUGAUGACAUCUAUUCUGAGAUAAGGUUUUCUCAAAUUGACGGUGCAUGUGCAGCAUCAUGCAUGGACACAAUUUCCAAAAUUGAAAAAUGUUGUAAGAUCUCUAAAGAACCAAAUCGUAAGAUAAUUACAAAUUUGUACAAAAAAUGUUCAUUUGAAACCGAAUAUGAUCAAAUCAAUCUGAAAAUGACUUCGAUUUUCUCACCGUUGUUACAUAAGGAGCGAAAAGUUGUUUGUGGCAAAGAUCAAGAAUUGGAUGUUCUAUCAUCGCAAAAAGAAGUUGACGCUCAUGAUGAAAGUUGUACAUCUCUGACAUUACCUCCAAGGUUGGAGAGAUUUCAAACAAAAGAGAACGACCAAUUCAUGCCACACUCAUCUAUUUUACACCACACUGUAUCUGAAAACGAACUAUAUACUGAGAAGAAAGAAGAGAGGAGAACUAUGCAGAAUUAAAUCAGGCCAAAUAUAUGACUAUAUCUGGUCCCAACGUAAAGGAAGGAGAAGAUCGACCGUACAGUGUUGUUUAUUUGUCGUCAUUUAAUAAUUUUAAUUCCAAAGAAAGAUUAAAGCCAGACACAGGGUUUCCUAGCAAUUUUAAACCAGAAGAAAAAAGUUUUAAAGCCAGAAUUAAAUCAAGCCAAACAUAUGGCGGCAUCUGAUCCCAACGUAAAAGAAGAAGAUCGACCUUACAGUGUUGUUCAUUUGUCAUUAUAUAAUUAUGUGAAUUCCAAAGAAAGAGGGAAGCCGGGCAAAAUAUUUUCUUGUGAUGCUAAACGAGAAGAAAAGGAAUUAUCAAAACCAGAUGUCCUGGAACAUUUGAAUAACAGACCAUAUAGUAACGUACAUUCAACAACUUGGCCGAAUGAUGAACUUUAGUACUAUAUGUACGUAUAGAGAUAUAAGUGUAUCAUCACGUUUGUAUAAACACAUACAUCAAACAUUAAAUCACCGUUCACGGUAGCCUAGUGGUAGAGCGUUCGCUUCGUGAUCGGGAGGUCCGGGUUCGAUUCUCGUUCCCGGCGCCGCGUCAAACCUAAGACGUAAAAAUAGGUAGUGACUGUUUCUUCGCCAAGCGAUCGGCAUUAGAAGUGAAAGUCACGGGUUUUUCGGAUAUGACCUUAAAAACGUAGGUCCCGUGUCACGGUAGGCGCUGGCACGAUAAAGAACCCUCACUGCUGAAUGGCCCUGAGUGCCGAGUAUAGGUCUAAAUUUGAAGCCCUUCACCGGCAUACGGUGACGUCUUGACGUCUCCAUAUGAGUGAAAAAUUCUCAAGAGGGACGUUAAACAAUAUACAAUCAAUCAAUCAAACAUUAAAUCUAUUAUAUCAAAAUAAAAACACGGAAUUACUUGACAAGAUAUGCAAACAUACUCUAACAGAAAUAAAGUGGUACAAACAUACAAUGAUGUAUUUAUAUAUUAGGUGAUGUACAUGCAAUAAAUUCAUGGUGCAAUUGAAUUUGGAAACCCUUUUCCUCUUCGAGAAGGCAGAGAAUUAAAAGAUAAAAAAAACACUGCUUUUCCCGCCUUCC